GACGAACGCUGGCGGCGCGCUUAACACAUGCAAGUCGAGCGAUGAAAUUUCGACAGAUCCCUUCGGGGUGAAGAUGAAAUGGAUUAGCGGCGGACGGGUGAGUAACACGUGAGUAACCUGCCUUUGACAUUGGGAUAGCCUCGGGAAACUGGGAUUAAUACCAAAUGACACUAACUGAUCACAUGAUCAAUUAGUCAAAGAAAUUCGGUCAAAGAUGGACUCGCGGCUGAUUAGCUAGUUGGUGAGGUAACGGCCCACCAAGGCGACGAUCAGUAGCCGGCAUGAGAGGGUGAUCGGCCACAUUGGAACUGAGACACGGUCCAAACUCCUACGGGAGGCAGCAGUGGGGAAUAUUGCACAAUGGGGGAAACCCUGAUGCAGCGACGCCGCGUGAGCGAAGAAGGCCUUCGGGUCGUAAAGCUCUUUUAUGAGGGAAGAUAAUGACGGUACCUCAAGAAAAAGCCCCGGCUAACUACGUG
rnacentral:rRNA from 1 species